UACGAGGGGGCUAGCGUUGCUCGGAAUCACUGGGCGUAAAGGGUGCGUAGGCGGGUUUUUAAGUCAGAGGUGAAAUCCUGGAGCUCAACUCCAGAACUGCCUUUGAUACUGAGGAUCUUGAGUUCGGGAGAGGUGAGUGGAACUGCGAGUGUAGAGGUGAAAUUCGUAGAUAUUCGCAAGAACACCAGUGGCGAAGGCGGCUCACUGGCCCGAUACUGACGCUGAGGCACGAAAGCGUGGGGAGCAAACAGGGA
rnacentral:rRNA from 1 species